rnacentral:rRNA from 1 species
GACGAACCGUCCAAACGUUAUUCGGAAUCACUGGGCUUACAGAGUUCGUAGGCGGUCUGGAAAGUUGGGUGUGAAAUCCCUCGGCUCAACCGAGGAACUGCGCUCAAAACUGCCAGACUCGAGGGAGAUAGAGGAAAGCGGAAUUCCACGUGUAGCGGUGAAAUGCGUAGAUAUCUGGAGGAACACCGGUGGCGAAGGCGGCAUCCUGGACCAUUACUGACACUGAAAAGCGAAAGCCAGGGGAGCAAACGGG